GCCGAUAUCGCAUAAUGGUAUUGCAGCGGAUUGCUAAUCCGCGCCCUCCGGGGCUCCUGGGUUCGAUUCCCAGUAUCGGCA
rnacentral:tRNA from 1 species